AAUCAACGCUGGCGGCGUGCCUAACACAUGCAAGUCGAACGAGAAAGUGGAGCAAUCCAUGAGUAAAGUGGCGCACGGGUGAGUAACACGUGACUAACCUACCCUUGAGUGGGGGAUAACCUAGGGAAACCUGGGCUAAUACCGCAUAAUACCUACGGGUCAAAGGAGCAAUUCGCUUUAGGAGGGGGUCGCGGCAGAUUAGUUAGUUGGCGGGGUAAUGGCCCACCAAGACGAUGAUCNGUAUCCGGCCUGAGAGGGCGCACGGACACACUGGAACUGAAACACGGUCCAGACUCCUACGGGAGGCAGCAGUGGGGAAUUUUGCGCAAUGGGGAAACCCUGACGCAGCAACGCCGCGUGGAGGAUGAAGACCCUUGGGUCGUAAACUCCUUUCGAUCGGGACGAUAAUGACGGUACCGGAAGAAG
rnacentral:rRNA from 1 species